ensembl:snRNA U6 U6 spliceosomal RNA
GUGCUCACUUGGGCACCACAUAUACUAAAACUGGAGCAAGACAGAGAAGAUUAGCAUGGCCCCUGUGAAGGAUGACACACAAUUAAUGAAGCGUUCCAUACUUCG